GUUUUUUAGUAUAUUUGUGUUAUAUAUUUUUUUUAUUUUGUUAUUUUAUAUAAUGUUAUUAAUUAUAUAUAUAUAUAUUAGUAAAAUUUAAAAAUUGUUGUGACUUGCUAUUUAAAUUUCUAAACAUAGCUUCAAUAAGUAAUGUUGUUGCCAAUGUUAGAACUUGAAAUGUUUGGAUUAUUAGUGACAUUUGUUUUUUGUUUUCUAUAACUAGCUAGCUUGAUAUGUUGUUUGAUGAUUAUGUAGCUAGUUUAAUUAAUUAUGUAAUUGAUUUUUAUUUAUUUUUGUUUAAGCUUUUUAGUAGGGUUGUUGAUUUAGUUGCCAAUUCGGUAUUGAUUUUGGGUGACUUCAAGAGUAAUAUUGGAGAAAAAAGAACUAGGAGUGGAAGAUGUAGAUGGAUAUGAAAUUUGGAUAAGAGCGCGAGAAACGAAGAAGACUCUUGUCGAAGAUAAUUUGGACAAAAAAAAUUGAAGAAAGAGAUAAUGAACUAAAUGACAAAGUUACUAGUAGUCAAAUUGUCGCCAAGGAUCGGGAGGACAUCUUGCCAAUCCAACAAGAAUAGUUAAGCCGAUUGAUGACUUAAAUUUAUUAGUAAGACUAUUUUGUUUAUACAUACCUUUAGUUUUAUGUGAAUGUAUAUAUAAA